GACGAACGCUGGCGGCGUGCCUAACACAUGCAAGUGGAGCGACGAACCGGGCUUCGGCCCGGAGCAAAGCCGCGAACGGGUGAGUAACGCGUGGGUAACCUGCCCCAAUGACUGGGACAACCCGAGGAAACUCGGGCUAAUACCGGAUGUGUACCCAGACCUUCUGGUCUGGGUGCAAAGGAAGCUUCGGCCUCCGCAUUGGGAUGGGCCCGCGUCCCAUUAGCUUGUUGGUGAGGCAGCGGCUUACCAAGGCGAUGAUGGGUAGCUGGUCUGAGAGGACGAUCAGCCACACUGGGACUGAGACACGGCCCAGACUCCUACGGGAGGCAGCAGUGGGGAAUCUUGCGCAAUGCGCGAAAGCGUGACGCAGCAACGCCGCGUGAGGGAAGAAGGCCUUCGGGUUGUAAACCUCUUUCAGUUGGGACGAAGCUUCAUCAGUUAAUAGCUGGUUGGAGUGACGGUACCUUCAGAAGAAGCCCCGGCUAACUACGUGCCAGCCGCCGCAGUAA
rnacentral:rRNA from 1 species